CACGUGCGCUUCUUUAUCGAUAUCGGCUUGGAUUGCAUGCUUGCGGCGGCUCGGUUGCUGAACCCUGCCACAGCGCGGCUGAUAAACGCAUCGACCUCUCGAGCGGAAGUACGAUAGAAACAAGCGAGGAAAUUCCACCAAGAUAUUUUUCACGUUGCGGGCAGCUGGGAAAAGGUGUCGCAAUGCUUCGCAAAUGUAUGCGACAGAAAAAAAGGGACGAAGCGGCAUCGCUAUAAAAGCCAUCGCCGCUGCAACUGCAACUGCAAAUCGCGCUUCGACGAUCGGCAAGUAUACGUCCGCUGCGAGAAUGAAAACUUCCACGUUCAUCGUUCUGCUGGUGGUAGGCGCCUGCCUCGUUGCCGGCAGCGACUCCCUGGUGGCUAAGCCGAACGCGAGGGCAAAGAGGAGCGACUGUGUCUACGAAGAGUGCAUGGACGAAGAGUGCGCUGCGCGCGGCAUGCAGUGCCGGCCGAAGGGGUGCGGAGGCUCCCACUGCGUGUAGCCCGUCAUCACGGUGGAUGUAAUGGAGCAGCGCUUCGCCAUGGGAAGAGUUCAUGGUUCCUCAGACUCAAGUGGAGCUUAAAGGAAGCAAGAAAGAAUGGCGAACAGGAUGACUGCGAAUUUUAUAUGAGGUCGUCGGCAGAUCCAACUACUCAUGAAAAAUUAAAAUUUACCAAAACGAAAA
rnacentral:lncRNA from 1 species